CCCGUCACCGACAACGCAGUGGUCGUCAAGAAAGUCCCAGUCGUUCCCGUCACCGACAGCGUAGUGGUCGUCAAAAAAGUCCCGGUCGUUCCCGUCACCGACAGUGCAGUGACCGUUAAAAAAGUCCCGGUUGUACCCGUCACGGACAACGCAGUGGUUGUCAAAAAAGUACCGGUUGUACCAGUCACCGAUAGCGAAGUGGUCGUCAAGAAAGUCCCAGUUGUACCCGUCACGGACAACGCAGUGGUCGUCAAAAAAGUACCGGUUGUACCAGUCACUGGCAGUGAAGUGGUAGUCGAGAAAGGACCAGCUGCUCAAGGGAUGUGGAAACAUUGAUAGGACACUGGCCCCUAACCUACCAGCUCGUUAGGCAUGCUUCUUCCAAUGACGCUGAUGGUAAUGGCUGGUGAAGGUAGUGGUCAGAGAGCGGUACAUGGUCCUUGGUGGUUGAUAACUGCAGCUAAAGCUAGCAUGGACUUGGUACUGUAGUAGGCUUAUAUCAUCAGUAUGAUGUUGUUUUUUAUUUGUCUAUGCAUUUAUUUUUUCCUAGGCAUGUUCUUGUUGUGGAGUUGUGCUCUUUUAUUUCCUAGGUUUUCGUAAGAGUGGAAUUUAUUUCUUCACGCUAUUGCCAGAUGAGUUUGUACUUUGUACCAAUUCAGUUGUUAAUCAAUGAAGCAGAUACUACUAGCACGCACAAAAA